UACAGAGGUCUCGAGCGUUAGGCGGAAUCACUGGGCUUAAAGCGUGUGUAGGUGGAUCGUUAAGUACCUUGUGAAAUCCCACGGCUCACCCGUGGAACUGCUCGGUAUACUGGGUCGCUUGAGCCACUUAGGGGCUACCGGAACAAAUGGUGGAGCGGUGAAAUGCGUAGAUAUCAUUUGGAACGCCAAUGGUGAAAACAGGUAGCUGGGAGUGUGCUGACGCUGAGACACGAAAGCCAGGGGAGCAAACGGG
rnacentral:rRNA from 1 species